rnacentral:lncRNA from 1 species
CCUUCCUGUGUCAUCGUUGCUUCCUCACCGGAGAUCGGACCUGCUCGCCUCCAUCGUCAUCGUCUUCCAGACAUCUCAGAGCUCUCUCUCUCUCUUCCAGCUUCUUCCUCGCCGAAGCUUGGACCUGCUUGCGCCGUCGUCGUCAUCUUUCCAAAUCCGAUGUACACCUCAGGUGUUCGGUGCUCGUGCAGAUCGACCACAACCUUCGCCUCUUCCUCUUCUACUUCCUUAUCUCACCACAAUCUUUGCCUCUUCCACACCAAUCCUCGCCGUUCAGAGACUUCACCUCCGAAUCUGAUUUCUCCACUUCAACACAAUUGCCUUCAUCUAAUAUAUUUCUCUCUGUCUCCUCUGUCUGUCCUCUUCUGCAAUAAACACAAACAGAUGCAAUUAGAGCUCAAACAACCAUAAUAGAGAAACAGAGAAGACAUCGAAGAAGGAGAUGGUGUCGGCUUGAAAAGAAGAAAGAGAGAGAGAAGGCGUACAGAGGAAGAGAAAUGAACAAGAUUGAUU